AAUAGGCUAAUUAAGAGCGUAAGGGGAAUACCUUGGCUCUCAGAGGCGAUGAAGGACGUGAUAAGCUGCGAUAAGUUACGGGGAAUGGCACAAACAUUUUGAUCCGUAAAUUUCCGAAUGGGGCAACCCGGCAUAUUGAAGAUAUGUCACACUGUAAAGUGAGCAAACCUGGUGAACUGAAACAUCUAAGUAACCAGAGGAAUAGAAAACAAAAGUGAUUCCGCUAGUAGUGGCGAGCGAACGCGGAAUAGCCCAAACCUAAAUUUGUUACGGCAAUUUAGGGGUUGUAGGACCUCAACAUUUAAUGCUAAUAGAACUAGAAUUUACU
rnacentral:rRNA from 1 species